rnacentral:lncRNA from 1 species
GCCAGGGUUCAAGAGGUUCAGAGUGGACGGUUGACUAUUGAGUGUCCUGAGAGGUCAAAUUGCUGUAAGAAAAAGUUCAUGUGGUCAUACGUAUUCAAAAUCAUUAAGACAACAUUUUAAAAGAAUCAUCUAAAUAAAGACAUGGCCCCUGGACACGGACACGGACAUGAACAUGGUCAUGGAAAACUAGAACUUCCAGAUUAUAGGCAAUGGAAGAUAGAAGGGACACCAUGACAAACUGUCCAGGAGAAGCUGGCUGCAAAAGGGCUCAGGGAUCCAUGGGGCCGCAAUGAAGCUUGGAGAUACAUGGGUGGCUUUGCACACAAUGUUUCCUUUGUUGGUGUAUUAUUAAAAGGAUUUAAAUGGGGAUUUGCUGCUUUUGUGGUAGCCGUAGGGGCCGAA